CUUGAUUUCGAUAGAGCUAUGUGGUCAGCACUUCGAGUAGUAUUACCAGAGGGAAACUCGUAUAGGAAAAGAGACUGGACCAAACUGCGGCUGCAGCAGAGGUCGUAUGGACAAAUAUGACGAUAGGUCCAAAGUCCACAUUUUAAAGAGAUUCAAUGCCCUCGCAGACACAAACCUCCAGAACGUUUACCUUAUCGCUGGCAGACAAGGUCGCGGUGGUAAGUGUUACCAAGAUAACCCUGCCCAUAAAGGACCAACAAUUACAAAUACUUUGUAUCCAAUAAAAAGACAAACAGUAUACAAGUAAGUCAGCCAGCUUUUCAGUUCGUCCAUGGCAUAACUUACCGUCGAGUCAGAACAGUAAGAAGCAAGGAAAGUAACUACAUCACUGACCAGACUGAAGAAGAUAUAGGUACAGACAGAUACAAGACACAGAUCAGUUAAAGUUACUUAAAAAGCUCACUGAAGUAAAAGUCCUUCRAUGUGCUCAAGUGCAUUAUCCCAGAUCUGUUCCAUACUCAAAUGAAGAUUCACACGAGAGGACGCCAGAUUCUCAAAGAUCCAGUGUUAGUAUAAGCUACUUCAUUGGUUACCCUUAAGAUCAAGGAAAAGAGACUACCAAGGCUUCGAAAGAUCAUUUCGCCAACUUCUAAAAGAGCGUUUGUAUUCAACUUCUUCUCUCUAAAAGCCAAGAGCAGAAAUAAAAUCGUGCACUGGUUCCAGAACAAAAGAAGAAAGGAAAAAGAGGGAAAUUAUACACCAGGGGAUUGAGGGGGAGAGGCUAGCCUUAUUCCACAG